GCGUGAGUGAUGAAGGCCUUAGGGUUGUAAAGCUCUUUUACCCGGGAUGAUAAUGACAGUACCGGGAGAAUAAGCCCCGGCUAACUCCGUGCCAGCAGCCGCGGUAAUACGGAGGGGGCUAGCGUUGUUCGGAAUUACUGGGCGUAAAGCGCGCGUAGGCGGUCUUUUAAGUCAGAGGUGAAAGCCUGGAGCUCAACUCCAGAACUGCCUUUGAAACUGGAAGACUUGAAUCAUGGAGAGGUUAGUGGAAUUCCGAGUGUAGAGGUGAAAUUCGU
rnacentral:rRNA from 1 species